AUUGAACGCUGGCGGCAGGCCUAACACAUGCAAGUCGAGCGGAUGAAGGGAGCUUGCUCCUGGAUUCAGCGGCGGACGGGUGUGUAAUGCCUAGGAAUCUGCCUGGUAGUGGGGGAUAACGUCCGGAAACGGGCGCUAAUACCGCAUACGUCCUGAGGGAGAAAGUGGGGGAUCUUCGGACGUCACGCUAUCAGAUGAGCCUAGGUCGGAUUAGCUAGUUUGUGGGGUAAAGGCUCACAAAGGCGACGAUCCGUAACUGGUUUGAGAGAGUGAACAGUCACACUGGGACUGAGACACGGGCCAGAUUUCUGCGGGAGGCAGCAGUGGUGAAUUUGGCACAACGGGUGAAACACGGAUGUCUUGAGGUCGCGAAAUUUAGAAGGUCGUCGGGUUGUAAAGAUCUUUUGUAUCGGAAUAAAAUGACAGUACUAUAAGAAUAAGCACCGGCUAACUACGUG
rnacentral:rRNA from 1 species